rnacentral:lncRNA from 1 species
UUAAAUUUUUAUAAAAAUAUUCUGACAGGUUUUGUACUCUUGAUUUUGUUUUAUCACAAAUUUUGUCUGACCAAAUAUAUUUCCAACAAGGGGGAAGGGCAUAUCGCCGACAAAGGGGGUGCUACUUGCAAGAAUGUCUUCUCAGAAAAAUCAGAGCAGAUUAGUGAACAUGCUAGCGCGCGAUACUGGAAGUUGAAGGGAGUCACGGGAGGAAGAUGAUGUUGUGGCUUUAGUGGUGGAGGAAAUCACGAGAAUCAGUUGAAGAUCAAAUCCCUUAAACAAUGCCAGUGAUCAUGAGGUGGAUUCCGUUGCUUUUAUAAGUAAAAGUCUUGAGUAAUUGUUGUCUCGUGAUCAUGGUCUGGCUCAACUUGAAGAGCUGUAAUGGCGCCUAAGCUCAACUUGUCUGGCUCAGAAGACAUAGACACCUAGGGCCCUUAGUUCUUAAAAGGUGGAGUAUUCCUCUCUUUCUCUACAAGAGGUCAAGGAACGUGAGGAUGGCUGUAAAGUAAAGAUAACAGUGGGGAUGGAAAGGGACCAGAGGGAGGAUUCAGUUUUUCCGGGAAAGGGACCGGAGGGAGGAUUCGGUUUUUCCGGGAAAGGGACCGGAGGGAGGAUUCAGAAGGGAUGGAAAAGAGAUGCUCGGAAUAAAUCAUCAAGAAAUUGAACAGUACUGAAUUCUCUACUGCAUUACAACCAGUACUCUACAAUUUUUCAGUCUUGAUCUUUUUCUUUUUUUCUGCUCACUUUAGCAUAACUUGGCUCUCUCUCUCAUUUUUCGGCUCCUGACAUUGUUUGUUAUAACUUUGUAUAAUUGGAUUGACGUAAAACAGCGGAUUUAUGUACUUAAUUGUAUGAAAGAUUGGAGCUUCAUGUCAAACAAUGGUUGCUUUUAAUGUUUUGUUAAGGAAAUUGAGUGUUUAAUUACCGGAGAAAUUUUAAGGAUAAUGAGAGUAUAUUGAUGUAAUAAUCGUAAUAUAACAGCCACGGUAGCUUUAAUAGUAAUAUAGCAGCCAUAAUAUUCAUUAUUAUUAAUUUAUCACUCUUGCUUUCCUCUUCUUUUCAUAAAAUUAUGUAGAUUACUUCAAUUGGUUUCCUUUUCCAUUUGUCUAACCAAGCCAUCCUUCUUCUUCUACUUCUUCUUCUUCUUCCUCUAACAGUACAAGGAUGCCAUGCAUGCAGCCGGUUCUGAUUAGUUAGCUUUCUUCUUCUUCUUCUUCUUCUAACAGUAC